ACGUAGGGUGCGAGCGUUGUCCGGAAUUAUUGGGCGUAAAGAGCUUGUAGGCGGUUUGUCGCGUCUGCUGUGAAAGCCCGGGGCUUAACUCCGGGUCUGCAGUGGGUACGGGCAGGCUAGAGUGUGGUAGGGGAGACUGGAAUUCCUGGUGUAGCGGUGAAAUGCGCAGAUAUCAGGAAGAACACCGAUGGCGAAGGCAGGUCUCUGGGCCAUUACUGACGCUGAGAAGCGAAAGCAUGGGGAGCGAACAGG
rnacentral:rRNA from 1 species